UUUUAUUGUUUUUGCAAAAAUAAAGUUUAGAACUAUUGAUACAGGUUUUGCAAAAACCAAAAAAAAAAAAAACAGUGGUGUCAAAUUUACCUUUACUAAGACAAAUUUAAAAAAAAAAAUGUAUAGAACCCCUACAACAAGGGACAUUAAAAACGAUGAAAUAAAUUAAUGGAAUUUAAUCUAGUAUUCCACUCUACUAGCUUUUGGCUCGUUUUUCGCACGCACCUAUAUUUCGAUCUUGAACGAGGAAUUCCUAGUAAGCGCGAGUCAUCAGCUCGCGUUGAUUACGUCCCUGCCCUUUGUACACACCGCCCGUCGCUACUACCGAUUGAAUGGUUUAGUGAGGCCUUCUGAUUGGCGCCGCGGCCCCGGCAACGGAGCCGCGGAUUGUCGAAAAGUUGGUCAAACUUGAUCAUUUAGAGGAAGUAAAAGUCGUAACAAGGUUUCCGUAGGUGAACCUGCGGAAG
rnacentral:ncRNA from 1 species